GGAUCCAGACUUUGAUCAUGGCUCAGGAUGAACGCUAGCUACAGGCUUAACACAUGCAAGUCGAGGGGCAGCGGGAUUGAAGCUUGCUUCAAUUGCCGGCGACCGGCGCACGGGUGAGUAACGCGUAUCCAACCUUCCGUACACUCAGGGAUAGCCUUUCGAAAGAAAGAUUAAUACCUGAUAGUAUCUUAAGCACACAUGUAAUUAAGAUUAAAGAUUUAUCGGUGUACGAUGGGGAUGCGUUCCAUUAGGUAGUAGGCGGGGUAACGGCCCACCUAGCCAACGAUGGAUAGGGGUUCUGAGAGGAAGGUCCCCCACAUUGGAACUGAGACACGGUCCAAACUCCUACGGGAGGCAGCAGUGAGGAAUAUUGGUCAAUGGACGAGAGUCUGAACCAGCCAAGUAGCGUGAAGGAUGAAGGUCCUACGGAUUGUAAACUUCUUUUAUAAGGGAAUAAACCCUCCCACGUGUGGGAGCUUGUAUGUACCUUAUGAAUAAGCAUCGGCUAACUCCGUGCCAGCAGCCGCGGUAAUACGGAGGAUGCGAGCGUUAUCCGGAUUUAUUGGGUUUAAAGGGAGCGCAGACGGGUCGUUAAGUCAGCUGUGAAAGUUUGGGGCUCAACCUUAAAAUUGCAGUUGAUACUGGCGUCCUUGAGUGCGGUUGAGGUGUGCGGAAUUCGUGGUGUAGCGGUGAAAUGCUUAGAUAUCACGAAGAACUCCGAUUGCGAAGGCAGCACACUAAUCCGUAACUGACGUUCAUGCUCGAAAGUGUGGGUAUCAAACAGGAUUAGAUACCCUGGUAGUCCACACGGUAAACGAUGGAUACUCGCUGUUGGCGAUAUACUGUCAGCGGCUUAGCGAAAGCGUUAAGUAUCCCACCUGGGGAGUACGCCGGCAACGGUGCAACUCAAAGGAAUUGACGG
rnacentral:rRNA from 2 species